GUCGUCAGCUCGUGUCGUGAGAUGUCGGGUUAAGUCCCUUAACGAGCGAAACCCUUAUCUUUAGUUGCCAGCGGGUAAUGCCGGGGACUCUAAAGAGACUGCCGGUGUCAAACCGGAGGAAGGUGGGGAUGACGUCAAGUCCUCAUGGCCUUUAUGUCUAGGGCUGCACACGUCCUACAAUGGCACGGACAAACGGACGCAAUACCGCGAGGUGGAGCAAAUCCUAGAAACCGUGCCUCAGUUCGGAUUGCAGGCUGCAACUCGCCUGCAUGAAGCCGGAAUCGCUAGUAAUCGUAGGUCAGCAUACUACGGUGAAUGUGUUCCUGAGCCUUGUACACACCGCCCGUCAAGCCACGAAAGUUGGGAGGGCCCGAAGUCACCAAGCUAACCCGCAAGGGAGGCAGGUGCCGAAGGUCAGCUCGACAAUUGGGACUAAGUCGUAACAAGGUAGCCGUAGGGGAACCUGCGGCUGGAUCACCUCCUUUCUAAGGA
rnacentral:rRNA from 1 species